UACGUAGGGUGCAAGCGUUGUCCGGAAUUAUUGGGCGUAAAGAGCUUGUAGGCGGUUUGUCGCGUCUGCUGUGAAAUUUCGGGGCUCAACCCCCAACUUGCAGUGGGUACGGGCAGACUAGAGUGUGGUAGGGGAGACUGGAAUUCCUGGUGUAGCGGUGAAAUGCGCAGAUAUCAGGAGGAACACCGAUGGCGAAGGCAGGUCUCUGGGCCAUAACUGACGCUGAGAAGCGAAAGCAUGGGGAGCGAACAGG
rnacentral:rRNA from 1 species